GACGAACGCUGGCGGCGUGCUUAACACAUGCAAGUCGAACGGUGAAGCCCUGUCGGUGUGGGGUGCUCGGGUAGCGGGUGGGUAACACACGCGCAAGCUGCCCGCCGCUCAGUUUGGGCUCACAUCAGGAAAGUGGAAUACAGACUGGAUCCGAUGUCCGCCUGGAUGGUUGGUGGUGGGAGGUUUCGGCGGGUGGGGAUGGGCUCGCGGCUUAUCAGCUUGUUGGUGGGGUAGUGGCCUACCAAGGCGUCGACGGGUAGCCGGCCUGAGAGGGUGACCGGCCACACUGGGACUGAGAUACGGCCCAGACUCCUACGGGAGGCAGCAGUGGGGAAUAUUGCGCAAUGGGCGGAAGCCUGAUGCAGCAACGCCGCGUGGGGGAUGACGGCCUUCGGGUUGUAAACCGCUUUCGGCAGGGACGAAGCGUGAGUGACGGUAACGGGAGAAGAAGCACCGGCUAACUACGUG
rnacentral:rRNA from 1 species